rnacentral:misc_RNA from 1 species
GGCCACCUGGGCAUCAUGCAAUGGCUGAAGAGUUUUCUGGAUACUGUUACUUCAAUAACAUAGCCAUCACAACACACAUUGCUUUAAAGAAAUAUAACCUUGAAAGAAUUCUGAUUGUUGACUGGGAUGUACAUCAUGGCCAAGGAACUCAAUUUGCUUUUUAUGAUGACCCAAGAGUGCUGUUUUUCUCCAUACACCGCUUUGAGCAUGGUGAAGAAUGGCCACACUUGCGAGAGUCUGAUUAUGACUAUAUAGGACAAGGAAAAGGAAAAGGCUUUAACGUCAAUGUUCCCUUAAAUGAGAUUGGUUGUGAUAACAGCGACUACCUUGCAAUAAUGUUCAAUGUACUGCUUCCUUUGGCCUAUGAGUUUCAACCUCAGCUGGUACUCGUUUCUGCUGGCUAUGACAGUGCUGUUGGAUGUCCUGAGGGCCAGAUGACUGUCACUCCAGCCUGUUUUGCUCACUUUGUGAACCUGUUGAAAACAUUAGCAGGUGGAAAAAUUGUUUUGCUGCUGGAGGGGGGUUACUGUGUAAGAACCCUGGCAGAGGCAUCUGCUCUUUCUUUGCGAGCUCUUUUAGGAGAUCCAACACCAAACAUAUCGCCUAUUACUGGAGCUAGGAAAAGUGUAGUGGAGUCUGUUCUAAACGUGAUCAAAAUGCACCGGGCUGUCCACCCUAGCCUGGCUUUUCAAGACACACAGCAAGAAGGAAAAGAAGUCGGCCACAGUUGGCAGACCUACUUGCCACCUGAGCAUAAUAUCCAGUGCAGAACAAAGUAUAAUCGACCAGAGCAGUUUCCUCUGAUGCAAGAAUGCUUUGAUGAAGUGUCAGAUGCUGUCCAACAACAAAUAAAUCAGCAAAUUGAGCAGCUUGAGCAAGAUACAAUCCUCUCAAGACCAGCCCACAGGACUGGUUUUCUUUAUUAUCAAGACUUACAUCAAAAUGGCAAAAAUGGAAGUGUUUGGGAUAAAGCAAACACAAAAGAACUACUAUCACGAUGUCAUGUGGUGCCAAUCACACAUGAUGACAAUAAAAACAGCAUGGAAGCAUGUGUCUCAUCUGCGAUAGAUGCUAUUUUGGAAAAUACAGUUGGAUCCUGCAUUCUUCUUCCAUGUGGAACUUAUUCUGAGGGGACAACACAGGAUCUGUGUUACACAUUUGCUAAUGCUCUUGAAGCUUGUAUACACAAAAAUUCUCAAAUUAAAAGAACCCUGGUUCUAAAUCUUGCAGUGGGUGAGGAUGAACCUUUACUGACCUCCUUUGCUGGUACUAAAUCCUGCAUGGUUGUCUUAUCUGUGGGGCUCAGUCCAGUUGAAAAAAGAGCCAAAGAUCCUAGCUGGAGGCACAUUAUUCAAGUUCCUCUGACCACUAGCCAGAUGAAGAAUGGGGACCUGAUUUCAGUUGGCCUACAGGUGUUGUUACCCAUUGCUUAUGAGUUUGCUCCUGAUCUUGUUGUCUUCUGCCUGGGAUCUUCAGAAAAAAAAAUCAGUCAGGCUGAGGGUCAGACAGACUUGACUUGCAUGGCUCACCUGCUGACAAUGCUGAACGGGUUAGCCAGGGGACGCAUGCUGCUGUUUGUGAAGCCAUCAGCAGAAGUACAAGAGUUUGGCGUUGUGAUGGACUGCAUUUCAGCAUUGCUGGGUGAUCCUCUCUCCAUUCUGCAGCCCUGUCUCCCCCAGCAAAGUUGAGGUGAUCAAGACACUGCAGGACAAAUACAAGUCAUCAUGGAGAACCCUACAGUUUAGAGAAAAGCUGCCCUCACCCAGGCAGACCCUAGAGGAAAGUGUCUAACAACUCUAUGAGACGUCUGUCACACUCAUGACAUUUAGGUUUUUAUUCUCUACAGGACUCAUAUCUCUUUCAUUAGGAGAAAAAGAGUUUUGUUUAAUGUUCACCAUGCACAUUAUGUGUAUUCCAAGUAAAGCUUAAUUUAUUUGUAGAUUGGUACUUGAUUUAUUCAUUCAUGAUGAAUGUGGUAGUUUUGUUGUAAAAGUUUGUUACUUAUUUCAUUUUCAAAUGAUACAUACAGAACUCUUGUUGUGCUAAAGAUCAUGACACUGUUGUUGUUAAGAACAUGUAGAAUUCUGUAGUCAUAUUCUAAUUCUAUUAUUUUAAGACAGUUGCAACUACUUAACGGAUUUUUAUGAACUGAAAGCAUUUCAUUGUUUAUUCUUUUCCUGUACAUUAUUUCCUUUUGGUGCUUGUAGUUUUUAAGCUGAAUUUUGCUGUACAUUUUUGAAACAACAAAAUAAGUACAUUUCCUUGAUCUGCCCUCAUGUUUAAUAUCUUGCAUUAGCUGUUAGCCAGUUAGACUGCGUGUGGAAAUCAUGCUUGCUUGUGAACAGUAGUAUUGCCAUUUGAUUAUGUUUUUUAUAUUUAUUUGUUUAUGGUGUACAAUAUUUUUUAUUCAGUUUUGAAUUCCUUAAGCUCAGUAAUAUUCACAACUGGAGAAGUGAAAUAGCAAAAAAAACCAUCAAAUAUAUGAUGCUGCUUGAUGCUGGUCUUCAGAAUUCUCAUCACAUUUCAAAAACAGCAUGAUGUUGUUCAAUACAUCUAGCCUACAAAUAAUGAUGUGAUUUUCUUACUUCUGAACCAGGACAGCCUAAUUUAAGAAUUUUAUUGUCAAAAUUUGUGUUUAUUCAUAUUUUUUAAGCAUUGAGGCACUUAUUGGUCCACACCAGAUGUUUUGUCCGUUCACUACUCUUUCUUAAUAAUUUUCCUUCAUUUCACUCAGGGAAUAAUAAACUGUCAUCUGCUCACUCUGUGGUAGUUUUAUUUUAGCUUUGAUGUAAAUAAUUGUAAGAUGUAACCAAAAUUGGACUAAAUAUUAGCUAACUCAGGAAUUGUAACUUGCGCCAUUGACAGUUUCAUACCAUGGGAAGCAAAAUAUCAAAUAUACUCCCCAAGUCUUUGUAACAAUAUUGAAAAUACUUGGCAGCAAAAUUGUUUUCUCAUUCAGCGAUCAUGUAUACUAGACUGGAUCAUGCAAAUUGGGUCAUGUAAACACAGGUGGGUUAUAUGAUAUUGUUCUUUUUACUACGAUUGAAAAAUCUUGGAUAUUUAUGUAUUUGUAAAGCCUGCUAAUGACCAUGUUACUUGUUGAAUGAACAUUUUUCUCAGAAAUUAUUGUGAGCAUCUUUCAAUCAUACUGAUGUAGGUUAUGGUUGUUAAAUAUUUCACAGGCUCUUACUGCUCAUAAACCAACAAGCAGAUGACUUCUUUGUAAUGUCCUGUUUCUGUUCCUAUACACAUUUCAGUAUGGCUUCUUACUGGAUGUAUAAAGUUAUGAUCACUUUUAAAAUAUUUAUUUCCUUUUUACAUGGCCUUUAGGAGCUGAUAUCAUUAAUUUUUGUUCUAUGCAUAUAAAACAAGUGGUUUUAGUUUUAUUUCAAAGCAAUAGUAAUUGCAGGAUGUAUUGUUCAGAUUUAGAUUUCAUUGUAGAAACCUAGUCAUCUCUGUUCUUGAUGAAAUUGUAAUUGUGAGCGUCGUUAAAAUCUUGCAAGAUUCUGGGCAAAGAUGUAGCCGAACUUCCAUUAUGCCCAUUCUUGUGAUCCUAGUGAAUGCUACUUUCUGGCCAACCUUGCAUUUUUUAAGCUGCUUUGGAGGGGAAAAUGGAAUCCCCUGCAUAUAUAACUUAUAUUUAACAUGCAUAACUUGUGUGAAUAUGCUUACUUUUAGUUUAUGAUUAAAGUGGGCUGGAUUUCUCUGAGGUAGAAUGGUGAAAGAGGUACUUGUAAUGCUGGUAAUAUGCCCCAUGAAGCAUCUCACCUUUUGUUUUUGGAGAGGUCUUUAGUAUGAAACUUGGUUGUGUAGGCACUUGUUUUAAAAGUAUUUUGAAAACAUAAAUAAUGUAUGUGUUGAGAGAAAUAUUGCCUGAUGGUUUCUUUUGCUUUAUUGUGAAACCGGUGCAUGUGUGUGGAUUUUUACAUUUUGUUGUCCCUCUGUCAAAAAUCUUUCAGUUUUGUGAAAGCAAAGUGGUUCUGGUCGUUACUUGAAAAUCUGUGUUCAUACUUCAGCGAUUGAAGAUAUUUUGACACUUAUAACGUGAUAAAAAUAUUUCAUGUGUUAUUCCUGAAACAACCUUUAACUCUUUCUGUCAGGGUGUGUGCAUAUGUAUGCAUGUAUGUGUUCAUUCAAGCAUGCAUUUGCACAGAAUCGAAGUACUCAGAUUUUGUAUUUCUUCUUGACUGCUGAGCAUCUUCAAUGUGUAUUUUUUCAGCAGUUUUGUAAGAUGCAAUUUUAUUUUGUUUAGAUAAUAACUUUAACCUUUUUUUUUUGGUGAAGGGGAGAUGACAAGGUUGACUGAAGGUAGGAUGAAACUCGUGUUACAUAGUUAUAAAUAUUUACAGAAUCCAAACCUUUUCACGGCCAUGACAUGCACUAGUCCAUCAUGUCAUGCAUGUGCAUUCUUUUUUAAAUUUUUUGGGAACUAAUUCUUUUAACAUGUGGAGAAGUGUCUGUGUUUUCACCCAUACUUUUGCUUAUUAGAUGUCCGUACUUAGCUUAGGGACUGUAAAGACUAACCCUGUAGUAGCAUUGGAAGGGGCCAUAUGGCAAAUCAGCCUGGGCCCCAUGGCGAAAGUGCAGACAGGCCUAAUAAGGGCCCCAUGUUUGUUUUACCUGGGAGGCGGGGGGAAAUGAUGUAGAUCCCAUUGAAUUAUUGAGAUUUUCUUCAGGUAUUUUGGCAUAUUCUGAUUUACAUUGUUUUUAAAUCAGGAUAUGCCCAAACAAGAUUUGUCUUGCUUCUUGUGUGGACCUUUGCUCUGACAUCUCACUUCAAGAUACAUGUUCUUCAAAAGUAAUUCACACAGUUCAGCAGUGGAUAAAGGAAAUAACCAUAAAUGGAUCUAUCUUAGAUCUUACACCCACCUAAUGUUGAGAUAAGCACGUUCUAGCCAGUUUACCAAGUGAAAAAGCUGUCUGAAAAAAAGGGACUUUCCAAUUCUACAACAUACAAUGGAAAAGCAAAUAUGCUAACAAUUUUAACUUUUUUCCCUACUUUUCGUAAACCAUGUAGGCCAAACAGCAGAACAAAAUUAUUCCUAAUCAUUGUUUAUGAAAUGGAAUAUCUGGAGCAGUGUUUUAUUAAUUAUCGAGAUUUUGAAGACAAACACUAGGGACUGGUGGCAUGCUUAGUCUGCAAUCAGCCACAAAAGGAAAGAGAUUUUUCUGGAUGUUGAAGUUGCAUUUUCAAAGUAUUGCCACAAAAUUCUCUUACUUAAAAGUCCAUGUUUUUAUUUUUUAAAACAAACUUUGCCACAUAUCCUGGUGAGGACUUUCGGUUGUGCAGUGGUUAAAGCACUCACUAGUCACCACUGCAGAUAUAGGUCCUGGGUUCAGCUAUUGUCUUGGGACAUUCUCUGUAUGUGGCAUUUGUUUGCAGGGCCGGUUGUUGGCAAUUUAUUCUUGGCCCUCCAGUUUCCUUCACCAUCCCUCUUCCCUCAGAGCACAAAAUUACCUCUAGGGGGAUGCACUUUCUUGCCAAACAACCAACCAUAUCCUUGUGUCUCAUUUGAUCUACUGGAUACUGUUGUAUUAACUACUGAUGUGUUUAAAUGUAUGUUUCAAAAUGGAUACAAAGUUUUAAACUUGUGUUAUUAUUGAAUCUUGCAAAUUUUGACUUAUCUGCCCAUUCUUUUCUGCUUGGUACAUGUGAAGUAACUGGUUAUGAUCUGUUUUGGUUUUGUAAACAAUUUUAAUUUUAUUUUUAAGUAUUUGUUAUAGUUAAAUACCUUGCUUUGUUUAAUUUGUUUUUUUCUGAUAUCAAAUACUGUAAGUUUAUGACAACUUAAUAGUUGUAAUAUUCUCGCUUGCACAAGUUUAUGCAACGUUCGCAUUUUUAAAGUCAAAUAAAAAUACUGACAAUAUUUCAGAUCUGUGUCAUUUAUUACAUUGCAAAAGAUAUCUCUUCAAGGAGUCCUCACAUUGUGACUGACAAGAAUAAAUGAAUCGAUAACCUAUUUUCAAAAAUAUAAUGGACAGCACAAUUCCAUAAGCUAUAUUUUAAGCUGGUAUUUCAGAAGAAAAAAA